GGACCAGCUCGUCGUCAGCCUCGGCGCCGAGGUGAGCACACCACGCGCGCGGGUCUGAGGUGGCCGCGCACCAACUCCUCCAUCUCGAGCUGCAGGUCACCACCCCGUCAUCUCCGAGUGCUUCGCCCUUCACUGCAGAGCCCCGCGCCGAUGUCAAAAGUCACGCCGCGGCUCUAUCGGGGGAGCGAAGGUGGCGGCGGAGCGAGACAUCGACGACCUGCCGCGGAACAACGGCAACCACAUGCCGCUCUGGUUCCUCGAGCGUGCCGCGCUGACCCACCUGGCCAGGGCCUCUGUCGCGCACGGGCCGUGCGCUACACCUGGGCUGACACCUACGCUGCCGGCGCUGCCUCGCCUCCGCCCUCGCACGCCGGUCCGUCGGACACGGAAGCACGAUAUAACUAGAAAAUACCAUGUGUUGUGGCCACCAUCUAUAUGUCCUACACAAUAUCUAUUUGGAAGAAUGGAAGCGAAGGACGAAGCUGGCGGCAGAGGUGGCCAAAUCAGCAACAGAGAUAGACCACAGAAGCAAGGGUAGAUUGGACUUUGAAACCAAGUCCGUCUCGUCCCUGUGUCGAGCUGCUUCUUCCAAGACUGCAGAAGUGCUUACAUGAAUUUUGGAUCAAUUCGCAUUAAUGAAAGCUUCAUAAAUUACCUUAGGACAAAAAGGACAUGAAAUCUAUUUCCAUUUGUUUCGUUUGUGCUUGAAUGAGAUGAAUCUUAGCUUGGGAUUGUACCUUCUUUUUGAGUAUUGGUGUACUUUACUACUGUUCAGAGAUGUCUGUUCGUCCAAUGAUGAUAGCAAUAUAAGCCUAUUACCUUCUGACAAUAAAGGGUAAAGAAUUUGUUGUUUUAAAUUU